rnacentral:rRNA from 1 species
UACGUAGGGACCGAGCGUUGUCCGGAAUCAUUGGGCGUAAAGAGCGUGUAGGCGGCUUGUUAAGUCUUGCGUGAAAUCUCGGGGCUCAACCCCGAGCGGUCGUGAGAAACUGGCAGGCUAGAGUGCGGGAGAGGAGAGUGGAAUUCCUGGUGUAGCGGUGAAAUGCGUAGAUAUCAGGAGGAACACCUGUGGUGUAGGCAGCUUACUGGACCACUUCUGACGCUGAGACACGAAAGCGUGGGUAGCAAACAGG